UACGUAGGGUGCAAGCGUUGUCCGGAAUCAUUGGGCGUAAAGAGCGUGUAGGCGGCUCGAUCAGUCCGCUGUGAAAGUCCAGGGCUCAACCCUGGAAAGCCGGUGGAUACUGUCGGGCUAGAGUACGGAAGAGGCGAGUGGAAUUCCUGGUGUAGCGGUGAAAUGCGCAGAUAUCAGGAGGAACACCAAUGGCGAAGGCAGCUCGCUGGGACGAUACUGACGCUGAGACGCGAAAGCGUGGGGAG
rnacentral:rRNA from 1 species